AAAGUGCGAUAAGCACUGUGAAUUGCAGAAUUCAGCGAAUCAGCAGAUCUCUUAACGCAUAAGGUGCUAGGUAGACUUGUCUGCCUGGCAGGCAUAUUUCAGCAUUGUAACAAUUGCAGUCAUGAUAUACUCAUUCGUCUUCUGUUUUCUCCUGCUUCGGCGGAGUCAAUCGAAGACGAGGAAAGUAUAUCGCUGACCCGCAUUUUUGUCGCUCUCCCGUUCGCGGGCUUGCGGCGUCUGAUCCGCUAAUUUCACAAAUGGCGGAUGGGUACAUGCCUCGCAUUAUUUGAACUUUGUUUAAACAUAAUGACCAGAGGUACAAACCAAUCAAUCUGAAAUAUGUCAGGCUACCCGCUGAACUUAA
rnacentral:misc_RNA from 1 species